rnacentral:rRNA from 1 species
GGAUGCGAAUCAUACAGCCACUAAUACACGGAUCCAUCAGAACUCCCGAGAGUUCAAGUGUGCUUGGGCGAAGAGUCAGUACUAGGAAUGAGGACCCCCUGGGAAGUCCUCGUGUUGCAUCCC